rnacentral:rRNA from 1 species
AUUGAACGCUGGCGGCAUGCCUUACACAUGCAAGUCGAACGGCAGCACGGGAGCAAUCCUGGUGGCGAGUGGCGAACGGGUGAGUAAUAUAUCGGAACGUGCCCAGUAGUGGGGGAUAGCCCGGCGAAAGCCGGAUUAAGACCGCAUACGACCUGAGGGUGAAAGCCGGGGAUCGCAAGACCUCGCGCUAUUGGAGCGGCGGAUAUCAGAUUAGCUUGUUGGUGGGGUAAAAGCCUACCAAGGCGACGAUCUGUAGCUGGUCUGAGAGGACGACCAGCCACACUGGGACUGAGACACGGCCCAGACUCCUACGGGAGGCAGCAGUGGGGAAUUUUGGACAAUGGGCGCAAGCCUGAUCCAGCCAUGCCGCGUGCGGGAAGAAGGCCUUCGGGUUGUAAACCGCUUUUGUCAGGGAAGAAACGGCUCUUGAUAAUACCGAGAGCUAAUGACGGUGCCUGAAGAAUAAGCACCGGCUAACUACGUGCCAGCAGCCGCCGUAA